rnacentral:lncRNA from 1 species
GCCCACCUCGGAACUGUCCUGAGUGCUGAAAUGGUGCCUGGUUGCAGCUGACAUUCCUGUUCCUUCACUUAAGUGCUCUGCCGGAGCACUAGGGGGCUGAAGGCAGCAGUAGGGCGAUGGAAAGCCUGGCCAAGGGCUUCUAGAACUUGAAGCUCACCAUUUUUGGAUGACAUUCUGUGAACGAAGUGUUCUCUAUGAGAUACUAAGAGCAAUAUAGGGUAAUCACUGGUGACAGAAACAUCUGCUCAUGCAGGUUCAUGUCAAAGUCCAGGGUUGAAGGAGAACCCCUCAUCCCAGGUGUGGCAGAAUUGAUGCCCUAUAACUUCUGAGUGUAGGUCAUAAAAGGCAAUGUGGCUCCCCCAGCUCUCUCCCUCUGUCAAGAUGCUUUUCCUUGGAAUCCAGCUGCCAUGUUGUGAGAAAGCCCAGGGCACCGCAGAGACCACAUGUGGGUGUUCCAGCCAACAGCCCCAGCUAGGUCCCCAUGGAGAGCCCACACCAACCACCAGAUAUGAGGGUUCAGACUCCAGCCCACAGUCUUCAAGUCUUCCAGCUGCAGUCCCAGACAUCAUGAAACCAUUCUGCUGUGACCUGUCAGAAUUUCUGACCCCAGAAACUGUUGGAGAUAAUAAAUAAUUACUGUUGUUUUAAUCCUCUAAA